ACAUGCCUGGGGUGUUCGAUACUCCUGAUAUUUUGAACCUACACUUUUGAAUUGGGAUUCCUAUAUUUAUGUAAGGAUGCCAAGCCGCCACCUAUAGCAGCGGAAGGCAGAAUUACAUGUGCGGUUGCCCACCUAGCGCUUGCUAGGACUCAAAAUUCGGGACACGGCACUUUGGGUAUGCU
rfam:Clostridium sp. CAG:253 genomic scaffold, scf299